GACGAACGCUGGCGGCGUGCCUAAUACAUGCAAGUCGAACGCAGUGGGGACGGGUGAGUAACACGUGGGUAACCUCCCAUCAAAGGGGAUAACACGUGGAAACAGGUGCUAAACCGAUACUGAUGGAUGGACCCGCGGUGCAUUAGCUAGUUGGUGAGGUAACGGCUCACCAAGGCCACGAGGCAUAGCCGACCGGCGAGGUGGAUCGGCGAAACUGGUACUGAGACACGGCCCAGACUCCUACGGGAGGCAGCAGUAGGGAAUCUUCGGCAAUGGACGAAAGUCUGACCGAGCAACGCCGCGUGAGUGAAGAAGGGUUUCGGAUCGUAAAACUCUGUUAAUCGGGACGCGGUACCGGAAUAGAAAGCCACGGCUAACUACGUGCCAGCCGCCGCGGUAAUAC
rnacentral:rRNA from 1 species